AUGUUGAAAAUUUCAAUUUGAAGGAGUUGGAAAUACAAAGAGCAAAUUCGGCACAGUCCCUGCUUGAAGUGAGCUUAUAUGCACUAACUGUCUCAUGGCAGAACCAUGUUAAUUAGCAGUUUGGAAUGUUACUGAAAUGUUCCCAUCCCUGUUAGCAACCAGCCCUGACCUGUGCAUGGAUGAGCUGAAGUCCUCGCAGGUGCGGGGGUUGGGGGGAACCGCCUCGGAGAAGGGCCGUCUGUGUGCCCACACAGCCCCAGUCAUCACAGGUUUCUGUCAGAAGCUUAUUAAAAGAAACUUGUUACAAAACAGGUUAGUUCAGUUCAAUUCCAAAUACACACUCGCAAGGUGCUCACCUGUAUCUGCUGAGUAUCAACACGGUAAAGGUAAACUUUGUUUCAUCUUUUCUUGAUAAAGCUGUUUUACCCUUUUUCCCUUUUCAAGUGAGAAAAUCUCCAGGAUCAUGAGAUGGCUGGAGACCCAGAAGCUUUCUUUCUCCCCAGCAAGUACUUCUUCCUAGAAUACAUGCAGUACAGAGAUCAGCUGAGAGGUGGAACCCGAGAUGGAGCCAUUCCUUUGACCACAGCCUGAUUCACCGAGUCACCAAGCCACUCCAGGGUAACCUGAGUGGGUCCAGCCUGUGGGUGUCUGAAAGGGGCGCCUGGGUGGCUCAGCAGUUGAGUGUCUGCCUUUGGCUCAGGG